UAAAAAGUGUAUAUGCUUGUAAGAAACAUGCACUAUCGGGCCAAAAAUGCUGGACAUCCCUACUAUUUACUGAGAUAACAUCAAGAAGCCCUGGCAACUGGAUUUGAACUUAACAGCACUGGUGUUCACCCAUCAUCCACUGUUCAGCCAAGAGCAUGUGUGGCACAGAGACUGCUGGAACUAUAUGAGCAUUACCAAACCAGAAAAAUGCCAAAGAAAAGUUACUAAUCUGCAGGAAUAGCACAGGCAUUUCCCACAGGAAACACUGGGCGCAAGGCUGGAAUAACCUGGACAGGACGCCAAUCCAUUGCAGUGCUUUUCCCACCCCCAGAUAUAGCCAGUCAUGUCUGUGUAAACAUUCGGCUAGCCGAUGAGAUUCAAAUCUGGAUCUCAGUGAUGGAGGGCCUUAGCGCCCUGUUCUACUUAUCCACAAUCCACUGAUACAUUUAAUGACCUGAAUGGGUAAUGUAAUAUUAAAGUA